rnacentral:rRNA from 1 species
CGUAGGUGGCAAGCGUUGUCCGGAUUUACUAGGCGUAAAGAGCGCACAGGCGGUCGUUCAAGUCGCGUGUGAAAGCCCCCGGCUCAACUGGGGAGGGUCACGCGAUACUGAUCGACUCGAAGGCAGGAGAGGGUAGUGGAAUUCCCGGUGUAGUGGUGAAAUGCGUAGAUAUCGGGAGGAACACCAGUGGCGAAGGCGACUACCUGGCCUGUUCUUGACGCUGAGGCGCGAAAGCUAGGGGAGCAAACGGGAUUAGAUACCCCGGUAGUCCUAGCCGUAAACGAUGGACACUAGGUGUUGGUGGUAUCAACCCCGCCAGUGCCGAAGCUAACGCAUUAAGUGUCCCGCCUGGGGAGUACGGCCGCAAGGCUA